GGGAGGAUGGCCGAGCGGUCUAAGGCGUAGUACCGGAAAUACUAUGUGGAUCCGCAUCUACCGAGGGUUCGAAUCCCUCUCCUUCCU
rnacentral:tRNA from 1 species